rnacentral:lncRNA from 1 species
GGGUGCGCUGGCAUCCUGGUUCACCUUGGUAUUUCUCACUGCGGAAGCGCCUAAAAUCAAACCCUCUGACCCGCCAUCAAUGGGGGCUCGCCGCGGCCGACGGCGAUCUCUCAUCUUUCCCUCCGCCACACCGCGUCCUCAUUAAGCACACGCGCAAGGUCGCGCCCCCUCGGCAUCCAGCAGACGAGCCUCUCUCUCGCCCGCAGGUGCGGCGCCGGCCCAUUCCUUCCGCAGUUCCAUUCCCACGGGAUCUGAUCCGGUGACUAUUUGCACGCGUCGCCGUCGUCGGGAGCUCGUUCUCGCGGCGCGAUUACGAUCUUCGGACACCCUUACCCGAGCCUCUCCGCCCGACAACUUCGUCCUCAUUCCUCAGCGAGCGCCCUUGGUGAGCUAAAUUCUUACUUCAGUCAAACAGAGUUUGCCUGAGCGCGUGUUUCCAUCUCAUUGCCGGCGAAUUUGAGGACUUCUCCUACGCACUUUCUUGGCCAGUUGAUUGAAACAGAAGCAUGAGAAAGUCACGGAUAACUUAACAGCAAGUAGUAAUCUCCUAGGAACUCUCAUUUUGUUGAUUCCUUUCCAAGAUUCAAAGAAAUGCUGUAUUUGGUUGCCUCUUCAGUCUUUGUAUACACCUAACUAGAUUAACCCGCGGGUUGCUGCAGAUGAACUAUAAAAAGACUGAAAUUGAUUGGAGUAGAACCCAUAAAGUAUACAGGAAAAUUAGUUUUGAGGGGAUUUUUUCAUUGAGUAGAAUUCAUAAAGUAUACAGGAAAGUUAGCUUUGAAGAAUCUAAACGGUGUGGCUUUCAAAUGAAGAAGAUCUGCGGUCCGUUUGGUUUAUGCCUCAACUCACCCUACCAAAAAAUUGGGCAUUCCAAAUGCCCUACCACUCAAUACACAUCAAAAUUAAGGUUGAAAACAACAAAGUUGAUGUGGCUGAAUCAUAGAAGAGAUAACUAGCAAUAACGGCUUUUCAAAAAAUAAAAUAACUAGCAAUAACUGCAGUUAGAGUAGAUUAAACUGUAUAAGAACAUAGGAUAUGCAUGGAAGGAAUGUGUCUUGUGUGUAUUCAUGGGUUUCCGCUUUGAUGUUACUUUCCUAGAGUCCAGGGACAUCUGUUGCAGCUUUAACCUCGUAGUUUGAGACCGCGGUCUUAUCUUUUAUGCCGAGUCUUCUCAUCACUGCCUUCUUAUUAGGGAGCACAGCACAUGACGAUCCACAGACAUGGUAUGCCCAUAGCCCAUUGGAGACAUGUUUGAUGGUCUCCGCUGGUUGGAAACAACCUAUUUUUUCAGUUAUCUGACAGAUUUCCAUUGUGUUCUGUUAACUACUGCACUACGAUUCUCUAUUUUUACUGCACCAUCACAUGAACUGUAGCUAUGGGCCAUUGUUACUCUGCAUCAGAGUAAAACUUAGAAACCGAUCAUUGUCCAAAUCAUUUUUCAUUUAGGCGCUCUUCGCUUCACCACUCUGAUUUUAGGCUCUCAUGACAUCAUUGAAUAUCAGUUUGUUUAGCUGGAUACUUAUCUUAAUUCCUUUUGUGAAUAAUUACCGUUUCACAGCUCGCGCUUUCUAUUUGUAGUGACCACUCAGUGGAUGUAAAAUAGUCUGAACGCUUAACAGCAGAAGCCUGGACGGCAGUUCCAUUUAUACGGCUAAAAACUUCACGAUCAUUAAGUUACAAGCACAAACUGUUUUAUUUAUUCACUCGAAUACACACAGCAAAGUGGGGCGGAAGUUCCUAUGAACUGCAGCUCAUCGGAAAAGCAUACAACCUCAUGUUACCAGUACAAUAGUAUUGCCACACUAUAUGGCUAUAACAUUGUAGCACACAGUUUAUUUAUCCUCGGCGGCUUAUUUCCUGCGCACCUCAAUUCUCACAAGUGCCUCUUGACCCUCUCGUAGACUGCAUAAGUGAUGCACAUUAUUUUAUGAAGGUAGAGAAAGAUUUCUACACAGGGGCAAGGAGCACCUCAUCCCCGACAUCAGUGUGAUCUUUAACUGGCAGGUCGGUGUUCUUAUCAAAGGGGAAUGGCUCCAGUUUUGGCUGCGCUGCUUUCAGGAUCAUUUCAAUUGGCAUUUCUGGCUUUGAUCUUUCCAAAGGCGCCACUGGAUCAACACUUGGGUCAUGACCCUGCAAAGAGUUAUAGAUUAUUUAAAAUAGGCUUGCAAAUGAUACAUCUGUUUUAUUUUAAACAUGCAUGGGUGGCACUAACCAGGUUAGCAUGCAUUUUCUCAACAAAAGUUUGGAAAGUGGCAUAGUUCUGUCCCUCCAGUAGCUCAUUCGAUAACCGGAGGUAGGUGAACCCAAACAGUUUGUGCUCAGGAGGGCCAUUCUUGUUGAUGCCUUUCGGUCUCGCGUUCCUGAGUAUUGUGUUGUAAGCAGUGGCAUCAAAUCGACCGAGUGCGUUUUCGCACGCCACAUGUAAACCCUCUCUCCAUCCAGCACUCAGCACCUAAGGUUUUUGAUGAGAAGUGCUUCAGUGUUUCCGUAAAAGAUAAUUGUAAAUUCCUGAGCCAUAAAAUACUGGGCGGUUGCUAAUGCUGUGGUUACCUGUUGGACUAGUUCUUCUGGUGCGCUCUUCGCCUCUUCGCUUUGCUCCGAGUCCCUCAUCUCUGCACAAGUGAAGUUCAUGCUAGCAUGAUGCCUUGUGAGCAUGCGUGCUAUGGUUCUGUAGCCGUCUCUGUCAUCUAAGUUGUAGUACCCGGCUGUGA